rnacentral:rRNA from 1 species
UACGAAGGGGGCUAGCGUUGUUCGGAAUCACUGGGCGUAAAGGGCGCGUAGGCGGCCGAUCAAGUCGGGGGUGAAAGCCUGUGGCUCAACCACAGAAUUGCCUUCGAUACUGUUUGGCUUGAGACCGGAAGAGGUUAGUGGAACUGCGAGUGUAGAGGUGAAAUUCGUAGAUAUUCGCAAGAACGCCAGUGGCGAAGGCGGCUGACUGGUCCGGUUCUGACGCUGAGGCGCGAAAGCGUGGGGAGCAAACAGG